UACGUAGGGGGCAAGCGUUGUCCGGAUUCAUUGGGCGUAAAGAGCGUGUAGGCGGCCAGGUAGGUCGGUUGUGAAAACUGGAGGCUCAACCUUCAGAGGUCGACCGAAACCAUCUGGCUAGAGUCCGGGAGAGGAGAGUGGAAUUCCUGGUGUAGCGGUGAAAUGCGCAGAUAUCGGGAAGAACACCCGUGGCGAAGGCGGCUCCCUGGGUCGGUACUGACGCUGAGACGCGAAAGCGUGGGGAGCGAACAGG
rnacentral:rRNA from 1 species